rnacentral:rRNA from 1 species
AACGAACGCUGGCGGCAUGCCUAACACAUGCAAGUCGAACGAGACCUUCGGGUCUUGUGGCGCACGGGUGCGUAACGCGUGGGAACCUGCCCUUAGGUUCGGAAUAACUCCCCGAAAGGGGUGCUAAUACCGGAUAAUGUCUUCGGACCAAAGAUUUAUCGCUUUUGGAUGGGCCCGCGUUGGAUUAGCGAGUUGGUAGGGUAAAAGCCUACCAAGGCGAGGAUGCAGAGCUGGUCUGUGAGGAUGAUAAGCCACAAUGGAACUGAGACACGGCCCAGACUCCGACGCAAGGCAGCAGAAGGGAAUAUUAGACAAGGAACGAAAGCCUGACCCAGCAAUGCCGCGGAAGUGAUGAAGGCCGUAGGAUUGUAAAGCUCUUUUACCCGGGAUGAUAAUGACAGUACCGGGAGAAUAAGCACCGGCUAACUCCGUG